rnacentral:ncRNA from 1 species
AUAAAGUUUUAUUCUAGCUUAGAAAAUUAAUUUAUGGGUAAAUUAUAUGUAAAGUUUUAAGGAUUUAAAUAGUUGUUUAAAUGCAAUAAUUAGUAUUAAAAAUUAAUUGAAGUUAGAUUUAGUUACUCAUAAUAGUAUUGACAAAAUUUGUGCCAGCAGUUGCGGUUAUACAGAUAAUGCAAUUAAUUUAAAUUGGUUUAUAAUUAAUUUGUUUAAUUUAAUUUUAAAAAAAGAUUUAUUAAGUGAAAUUUUAAUUUUUUAUUAUGAUUAAUUUUAUUUAAUGAGGUUAUUAAAUUUUUAUUUAGACUAGGAUUAGAUACCCUAUUAUUUUAAAUGUAAAUUUUAAAACUUAGUGAUUAAUAGUUAUAUUCUUUAAAGUUAAAGGAUUUGGCGGUAUUUUAGUCUAUUUAGAGGAACCUGUUCUGUAAUUGAUAAUCCACGAUUUAUUUUACUUAUUUUAAUUAGUUUGUAUAUCGUCGUAGUUUGAAUAUUUUAAAAGAAUUUAAUGUUCAAUAGUCUUUAUAAGGAAAGAAAUUAGAUCAAGGUGCAGUUUAUAAAUAAGAAGAAAUGGGUUACAAUAAAUUUAUUUAUAUGGUUAUAUAUUUGAAAAGUAUAUUUAAAGUGGAUUUAAAAGUAAUAAUUUUAAAUUUAAUAUUAUGAUUUUAGCUCUAAAAUAUGUACAUAUCGCCCGUCGCUCUCGUUUAAAAUGAGAUAAGUCGUAACAUAGUAGAUGUACUGGAAAGUGUAUCUAGAUAGAC